AUGCCCACUUCGUGCCGAUGGCACACCCUUACACAGCUCUCCAAGUGGCCAAGCUAUUCAUGCGAGAUAUAUUUCGUCUCAACUACCACUGGCUCUCAUAUAGACAGAGACCGAGUGUUUACGAGCAACGUGUGGCAGGAAUUGUUCAAGUUAUGCCGCACUGAACUGCGAAUGAGCUCAUCUUAUCAUCCACAGACGGACGGGCAGACAGAGAGGGUGAACCAGUGCUUGGAGACCUACCUCAGAUGUGCCGUCCAUGCGUGCCCGACCAACUGGGCGAAAUGGUUAGGGCUGGCCGAAUUCUGGUACAAUACCUCGUUUCACUCCUCACUGGGCAAAACUCCGUUCGAAGUCAUAUAUGGCCACAUGCCUCGUGAGUUUGGAGUGUCGCAGAUCGACAACUGUUCUGUUCCAGAUCUGGCAGCAUGGCUACAUGAGAGAGAAGUCAUG
rnacentral:rRNA from 1 species